GACGAACGCUGGCGGCGCGCUUAACACAUGCAAGUCGAACGACGCCCCCCUGGCUUGCCAGGGGGUGACGGAGUGGCGAACGGGUGAGUAACACGUGAGCAACCUACCCCGAAGACCCGGGACAACAUCGGGAAACCGGUGCUAAUACCGGAUGCUCUCACCGGGCCGCAUGACCGGGUGAGGAAAUGGAUUCUGCUUCGGGAUGGGCUCGCGGCCUAUCAGCUUGUUGGUGGGGUAACGGCCUACCAAGGCUUCGACGGGUAGCUGGUCUGAGAGGACGAUCAGCCACACUGGGACUGAGACACGGCCCAGACUCCUACGGGAGGCAGCAGUGGGGAAUCUUGCGCAAUGGGCGAAAGCCUGACGCAGCGACGCCGCGUGCGGGAUGACGGCCUUCGGGUUGUAAACCGCUUUCAGUAGGGACGAGAUUGACGGUACCUGCAGAAGAAGCCCCGGCCAACUACGUG
rnacentral:rRNA from 1 species